ACUCCGGUGGCCUAGUGGUUAGAGCGUCCGCCUCGGAUGCGGGAGGUCGCGAGUUCGAACUCUGGUCGAGUU